rnacentral:rRNA from 1 species
UACGUAGGGGGCUAGCGUUGUCCGGAAUCAUUGGGCGUAAAGAGCGUGUAGGCGGCCCGGUAAGUCCGCUGUGAAAGUUGGGGGCUCAACCCUCGAAUGCCGGUGGAUACUGUCGGGCUAGAGUGCGGAAGAGGCGAGUGGAAUUCCUGGUGUAGCGGUGAAAUGCGCAGAUAUCAGGAGGAACACCAAUUGCGAAGGCAGCUCGCUGGGACGUAACUGACGCUGAGACGCGAAAGCGUGGGGAGCAAACAGG